CAGAUUUAGUCUGAGAGUUCUGCUCAGCCUCGGCCUCUGAACACUCCUCGCUAGGCCCAGCUGUCGCUUUGGUGGCACAAUGGGAAUGACACAAUGAGAUGAGCAAAGUGGACGUCACUACAAGUACAUGCAAUACAGUACACACGCACACACACACACACACACACUCACACAUAGCGUUUGGCUUAUAACAUUGAACACAGAUGACAAUGUCUUCAUAGCAGAGACUUGUUGUUUGUUAUGGGCAUUCAACUGCUAGCUGAGACAGAAAGAGAGAGAGAUGGUCAAGCAUCUGCAACAAUGCAAACCUGUACAGUUACCAUGCACUGCAAUCCCGCAAACCAGCACUGCAAUCCACCAGCCCAGUUACUCACAGCCGGUCUUAGUUGCUGGAGCCACAGUGCCUAAACCCUCUCCCCUUGAAACGGGAGGAGGGGGUCGUUUGGGACACAGCGUUUCAGUGGGGGUGUGAGUGGGGUUUGGGGUGGGGCUGUUCUGCUCAGGUCUUCCUGCCUCUUGAGAGUCCUCUGGCCUGGCUGCCUCAAAAUCAGCGGGCACUGGGACACAGGGCAGAGGGCACACUCACACAAGACACCACGCAGCAGCAGCAGCAGUAUCUCAGGUGCAUCAACCUAACGGCGCUGACCGUUUGCUCAUGUAAAUAUGCAGGCAGGUCUGAAGCUUCGCCUCAGAUCAGAGGUAAGAUAACGACAUAGAAAGUCAACACUCGAAGCAGAAGAGGACGCCAACAAGAAGAGAGUAUACGGAGAGGGACCGAUUAUGAAGACCAGGGAGGAAGACGAAAGACAAAACAAUGGCGGUGAUGAUGGCAUUAAAAAAGGUAUUAAUAUUUAGCAAAAUAGGGACAUAGUAAUGAUUCUACCUGGUGGGGCCUCAGUUCUCUUUGGCUUAAUAAUGAGUCUGGCCCCUCCCCCAAAGACAGCGGCCCACAUGCGGUUGUUGAGCGGGUGCGCUGCCAGGCGGAAGAGUUCAUUGCUGCUGUGGUUAGGAGUCACGUGUUCUUCGAUGCUCUCCGUGCGAAGUCGCUUCCUCGCACUGAGCAGCAGGCCCUGGUACACCAUCCCCUGUAAACUGGUUGGCCUC
ensembl:lncRNA